rnacentral:sRNA from 1 species
UUCUGCCGAAAGACGGGCACGUCCGUCAG